UUCAACAACGGAUCUCUUGGUUCUGGCAUCGAUGAAGAACGCAGCGAAAUGCGAUAAGUAAUGUGAAUUGCAGAAUUCCGUGAAUCAUCGAAUCUUUGAACGCACAUUGCGCCCUUUGGUAUUCCGGAGGGCAUGCCUGUUCGAGCGUCAUUGCAACC
rnacentral:rRNA from 1 species